rnacentral:rRNA from 1 species
UACGAAAGGUGCAAGCGUUACUCGGAAUCACUGGGCGUAAAGCGCACGUAGGCGGACUUACAGGUCAAUUGUGAAAUACCUGGGCUCAACCCAGGAACUGCAGCUGAAACCGUUUGUCUUGAAUACUUGAGAGGGUGGGGGAAUACCUGGUGGAGAAGUGAAAUUCGUAGAGAUCAGGUGGAACACCGGAGGCGAAGGCGCCUGCCUGGCAAUGUAUUGACGCUGAGGUGCGAAAGUGCGGGGAGCAAACAGG